ensembl:snRNA U6 U6 spliceosomal RNA
UUGCUUUAGCAGUACAUAUACUAAAAUUGGAAUGAAACACGGAAGAUCAGCAUGGCCCUGUGCAAGGAAGGCAUGCAAAUAUUCCAUAUUAAAAAAAAGAUC